rnacentral:rRNA from 1 species
UACGAAUCGUCCAAACGUUGUUCGGAUUUACUGGGUUUAAAGGGCGCGUAGGCGGUGCGUUAAGUCGGCGGUGAAAUACUUCGGCUCAACCGGAGAAUUGCCGCUGAAACUGGCGUGCUCGAGGGAGGUAGAGGUGCGUGGAACUUCCGGUGGAGCGGUGAAAUGCGUUGAUAUCGGAAGGAACACCUGUGGCGAAAGCGAUGCACUGGACCUCUUCUGACGCUGAGUGCGCGAAAGCCAGGGGAGCGAACGGG